rnacentral:rRNA from 1 species
AACGAACGCUGGCGGCAGGCUUAACACAUGCAAGUCGAACGCGUGUAGCAAUACACGAGUGGCGCACGGGUGAGUAACGCGUGGAUAUCUGCCUUUUGGUUCGGAAUAACCCCGGGAAACUGGGGCUAAUACCGGAUGGUUCCUUCGGGAUAAAGAUUUAUCGCCAAAAGAUGAGUCCGCGUACGAUUAGCUAGUUGGUGAGGUAAUGGCUCACCAAGGCGACGAUCGUUAACUGGUCUGAGAGGACGAUCAGCCACACUGGGACUGAGACACGACCCAGACUCCUACGGGAGGCAGCAGUGGGGAAUAUUGGACAAUGGGGGCAACCCUGUUCCAGCCAUGCCGCGUGAGUGAUGAAGGCCUUCGGGUUGUAAAGCUCUUUUGGCGGGGACGAUGAUGACGGUACCCGCAGAAUAAGCCCCGGCUAACUUCGUGCCAGCCGCCGCCGUAAAAC